AGCUUUGUGCAGUGGCAGUAUCAUAGCCAAUGAGGUUUAUCUGAGGCGCGAUUAUUGCUAAUUGAAAAG
rnacentral:snRNA from 1 species